rnacentral:rRNA from 1 species
GAUGAACGCUGGCGGCGUGCCUAAUACAUGCAAGUCGAGCGAACAGACGAGGAGCUUGCUCCUCUGACGUUAGCGGCGGACGGGUGAGUAACACGUGGAUAACCUACCUAUAUGACUGGGAUAACUUCGUGAAACCGGAGCUAAUACCGGAUAAUAUAUUGAACCGCAUGGUUCAAUAGUGAAAGACGGUUUUGCUGUCACUUAUAGAUGGAUCCGCGCCGCAUUAGCUAGUUGGUAAGGUAACGGCUUACCAAGGCAACGAUGCGUAGCCGACCUGAGAGGGUGAUCGGCCACACUGGAACUGAGACACGGUCCAGACUCCUACGGGAGGCAGCAGUAGGGAAUCUUCCGCAAUGGGCGAAAGCCUGACGGAGCAACGCCGCGUGAGUGAUGAAGGUCUUCGGAUCGUAAAACUCUGUUAUUAGGGAAGAACAAAUGUGUAAGUAACUAUGCACGUCUUGACGGUACCUAAUCAGAAAGCCACGGCUAACUACGUG